CCUAACAUCAGAGGAGGCCGUCCUCAAAAACAGGGAGAGGAUGGUCCACAUUCUGUUUUACAUUAAAAAGGUGUCAGCCCCUCUAGCAGACUGGCAACCAAUGGGCGACCCCUCAAUGAAGGCCAAAUCAAAUCACACCAACAUCAAUGUCCAAUCAGUCAGAUCGGAUGAUGAUAGGCCACUACAUCAGCGACUGCCAAUAGCAGCCAGGCCAGUGCGUGUUGUAUAAUGACUGUGAUUUCACCCUGACAUCAGAGGAGGCCGUCCUCAGACACGGAGAGGACUGCCAACAUUCUGUUUUAUAUCAAAAAGUGAGGAAGAUCACACCCCUAACCACCCCGCCUGCUGUCCCCAAUCUCAUCAGGGGUAAACGGAGUUAACACCAUUGCAGCAGGCUGGUAAACAUUGGAUGACCCCUCCAUAAAGGUCAAAUAAAAUCAUAUUACACCAACAUUUUAUUUCUUAUGGAGAAUGGACAGAAUGUGUGACCUGUGAAAAUGUUGUUUUAUCACUAAUUUUUGAUAAAAUACAAU